rnacentral:lncRNA from 1 species
UUUCUCCGCAGAAAUUUCUCAGUUUCUGAUUGAUGACAUCUUUGGUGCAGCCUAGGAUUUUUCUUAGUUAGCUGAAUCCUCUUGACUUUUGUACUUAUGGCUUUCAUUCCCAGUCUGUAUCUCCAGUCAUGGAGAUAAUCCAGUUCAUUUGCCAUGAUAUCUCAUUUCUGCUCCUUAUUGACAAUGGUCCUAACUUUGUUUUAGCAGUGCUCAUCUGUUCCUCGUGCCAGGGCAAUACAAAGAAAGUACUAAAAAGAUGGGUUUCAAGAAUAAAGUUGAUUCUUCCAUUUCAGAGCAUGAAAUAUGUACAUUAUGCAGCAGGCAACGAUGCACAUGGACACAUUCCUAAUGUUGUGGGGGAAGCUCACAGGUUUUCUCUUAAUGGAGGAUGGAGAAUUGAUGUUUUCCUUGUGGGUGAAAGUGCAGUAAGUGAUGUCAUUACCCAUUUGUAGUACCUUAUCUGAAACUUUGGCCAGAAAAGCUGGAUUUUGCUUUUUCCCUGUUUUUAAAAGACAGGGAAUGUGGAGCUGAGGCUGAGCUGCCCCUGAGACAGGCCCAGCUCUGUGCCUGCUUUGCAGGGCUGCAGGUAAACAGGGGAAUCCAUCCUGCUCCUGGAUGCUCUAGCCAGCAAUGUCCAACCUUGCAGUGAGGAAGAAAUGUUCAAUGAUAAAGUGGUGAUGUAAGGGAAGAAUGGGGAAAAGAAUCUCCUUCCCAAAAUUUAACACAUUAUUGCAGGUUUGUAUUUUGGGUAGUCUGGCC